GCUGGGCACCUUGGCACUUGCCUGUAAUCACAGCCACUUAGGAGGCUGAGACAGAAGGAUAGCAAGUUCAAGGCCAGCCUCAGCAAUUUAGUGAGGCCCUGAGUAAUUUAUUGAGGCCCCAAGUAAUUUGGCAAGACACUGUCUCAA
rnacentral:sRNA from 1 species